rnacentral:lncRNA from 1 species
ACACGUCACAGUGUCGGCGACAACCAAUGGUGAUACUUGGAUUUGGGCAUGGUGGAUAGUAGUUUAUGUUGAUAGCCAUAGUUCCCAUCAAGAGAGGUUCUAAAGAUUCAUCAAUUUCAUUGACAUUGAGACCCUUCAAUAGUACCUCUAACAACUUUUUAGCAAGUGGUUUAGCCCACUUUUGAUACUCCAAGACUUGGUUCCUAUAAACUCGUGAGAAAGUCAGAAAUUUCAUUAAGAGCGUACGAAAUUUAAUGGCAAUGACAAGAAUUUUGCUAAAAACAUUCAAGAUUUAAUGUCAUAAUCAGAAAUUUCACGAAGAGUGUUUCAAAAUUUAUCGAAAACAACAUUUUUACCCUGUAAAGGAAAAAAUAAGAUAUGCGUACAUCCUAACCUUCACAUAUCCUACUUGUGUGAGAUUAUACUGAAUAUAUUAUCGUAUAAAGAUAAUUUUUCUCCAACAUAUGCAAUAUAAUUUUGACUUUAAGUUAUAUAUACCAUUAUAAAAUUUAGAGAUAAUGACAAAAAAUACACCUGAAAUAUCAUAUUUUGUAAGUUUUCAAUCUAAACUAUCAUCAACUAAUUAUCAAAACACAGCUCUCAUUUAAUGAGUCAGUUUCCAUGUCAAUGAAAUUUUAUAGGCAAAUUAAGUUUUUCAUACACUUUUUAAAGAUUGUAUUCAAACACUUGGUCUAGUCAAUUUCGAAGUGUGUUUUCAUAAACAUCUUAACGUUAAGUUAUUGAACUCACGAAAAAAGUAAUACUUUAGGUAUUUUUUUUACUUACUUAAGAACAUGUGACAUAUAGAUACAUUGAACAAAAAAUCCAAAAAAGUUACCUUGUUUGAGGAGGCCAAAGAUUGCUAUCAUUUUCUAGAUUACAACCAUGCUUUAUACUAUCUCUCCACUCCAAAACUUUCUCAUCUUUGACACCAAUAGCACUCCAAUACAACAACACAGAUUCAUCAGCACCAGCAUUUUCUUUAUAAUACUUUACUUUUUCUUCAGCUGGCAAUUCAAAGAAUUUGUGUCCUGCUUCUUUCAAAUCUUCAAGAACUUCAAUUGGGAUGCCAUGAUUGAUGAUUUGGAAGAAACCCCACUUGUUUGCUGCUUCUUGAAUUGAUUUUUCAACAUUUAAAUCAUCAAAAUUUGACAAAUCAAUUGUGGGGAUUGAUUCUUGAUUGUCAAUUUGAGAUUUGUCUAGUCUUUGUUCUUUUGGUUGAAUGCAUUGAUUUGGAAUAAUUUCAAGGCUUGUGUCUGCUAUGCCUUUUAGUCCAUUUGCUUUCUUGAUUACAAAAUCAAAUAUGUCAUCAUUUGGUUCAAAUUUUGAAGAAGGCAUUUGUGUUGAAUAUUGAUAAGUGUGUACUAAUGGAAGAAGGAAAUUUGUGGGGCUUUUUUAUGGUGGCUUUGAGAGGAGUGUGUGUGGGUGGUUGGGGAUUGGCUAUGAAAUGAUGAAAGAUUGAAUCAUUCUUUCAUCUAGCAACGAUGGGUUAUGGAGGAGUAGUAAAUAUUUUUCAUCAUUAAUCAAAUGGCUUGAAUUCAAUUUUUUCUGAAUAUAUAGUCGUCUUUGUUAAUUAGAGGAGCGUAUUACCUCUCAAUAUGAAACUUUUUGAUGCGAAUUCAAAUUUAGUUAGACUCAAUAUGAAUAUUGAAAAAAAAUCACUCCUUCUAAUAAUUCUUGAAUUGAUUUUUUUAUUUAGUAUUUCAAUUUUUUAUUUUUAUUUUAUGCUUAAUCAAACAUCAUCAUCAUAAAAUAGUUAUUUGAAAAUUGGUGAUGUGGCUUCUUGAUGUCCAAAUGCAUGAAUAACGAAAUUUGUAUAUUAUAUCCAUAAAAAUUAUCAGUUAAAAAUAGUAUAAUUUAUUAAUUUUUUUUGUAGUAUUUACAUAGUAUAUGAUAAAUCAAAUUAUGAAAAAGUGACUACUCUUUAUUUUCCUUUAAUUAGUGGCUUCAAUGAUUUUAUAAAAAAUCUUGUUUUAUCAUUUCUUUUCUUUGACAUUUUUAAAACGUUAUAAUUGUUCUGUCUCCGUACCCCCCCACCCCACACCCCACCCACCUCGACACUGAAGUCUGACGCGCGAAUCACGAGUUUUUGAACACGUCAUAUAAUUUUUUAUAAAUUUGUUAGAACAAUUAAAUUAUUACUUCAUUCUAUUAUUUUAAGGGAGUGGGGUUGCGGUAUAUGGAUGAUAUAUAUUAACGACCCAAACAAAAAUUUUGAAUUAAUUUUUUAUUUAAUAUUUUAAUUUUAUGUAUAAUCAAACAUCAUUAUCAUCAUAAAAAAGUAGCUUGGUGAGAUGGCUUCUUGGUGUCCAUGUGGAUGAAUUGUGAUUUGUUUGAAUAACAUCCACAUCUUUGUUGUCAAGUUGUCAAUUGUCAUGAAUGAUGAAAUUUUUUACCAUAUAAAGUAAGUGGGAAUAGGUGAUUUACAAAAUUCUGUUAGUGUACAUAAGUUAAAACAGUGAAAAUGAAAAAAUUACAUUAAAGAUAAUAAAAAUUAUAAUAAUUAAUAAUUUAAAAUAUUUUAAUAUUAUAAAAAUAUAUAAUUAAUUGUGUUAAUUUUAUUCAUGUCAAAUAAAUUAAAACAAAUAAAUUAAUAUAUCACUGACUCCAAUAUCUAUAAAAAUUAUCAAUAAAAAUAGUAUCAUUGUAACACCCCUGAUUUCAAGAUUAUUUAUUGUCUUACGUUGCAGGCUAAGAGCCAAAGUGGAGAGUCCUCUUGUGUGUUGUUGUCUAAUACAAAUAUUAGCUAAUUAUUUUGAAUUAAUAUAAGAAAAAUUAAAUAGCUAAUUUAAAAAUAUACUUAAAAAACACUAAUUUAUUUAUAAAACUCUAAAUUAAAAGAAACAUGUAUUUUUUUUAUAAAUUUUCUUUCCUUUUGAAUAAAUUGAAAAUAAAACUUUGCUUAAAAUGCUAAGGUUUCCCAUGAAAACCAACGUGUUUGAUCUCCACGUCAUGAAUAUAGUAUAGAGGGUACCUUUGGAAAUGAAUUCAUGACUAGUAGAGGCACUUCAGACUCCAAACAACACCCUAAGAGUUUCACCACGUUUUUUUUAAAGUGUAAAAUAGAAUUAUUAAAUUAUAAGAAAGGGCAAGAUAAAGAAAAAAUAAAUAAAUAACGGACACGAUUACACCAAAUUGCAAGUUACAUAAAAUAACAGUUUUCAUCAUUACAAUAACAUAUUUAUAAUAAAAAAACAUUAACAUACAAGAACUUUGAAAUAAAGCAUCAAAUUUUAGCAAAAUCUAGUGAUGCUUUACCAGAAGGCCUCUUAAUGAAGCAAUGAUCCCAAUAAUCAGAGAACAAAAUAUGUUUGUACACUGGUUUUUCUCCAUCUUUUAGUAUUUGUGGGAAUGGACCAAUGACACUAUCAAAACUAGGAUUCACGAAUAGCGGUAUGGAUAUUCGAGCCCUGCUCGAAUCAACAGCUACACAAUGCUCGAUACUCUUGUAUCGAUCAUUGCUCAUGAUCUGCAAUGAGUCACCUAUAUUAACCGCUAAGGCGCCUUUGAUAGGAUUUACGUGGAUCCAGUUGUCUUUAGUUCCUCGAACAUAUAAGCCUCCCGUGUCGUUUUGGAGGAGCAAAGUUAUGCAGUCCAUGUCGCAGUGUCUACGAAAACCAAUGGCGAUACUUGGAUUUGGGCAUGGUGGAUAGUAGUUGAUGUUUAUAGACAUAGUUCCCAUCAAGAGAGGUUCUAAAGAUUCGUCAAUUUCAUUGACAUUGAGACCCUUCAAUAGCACCUCAAGCAAUUUUUUAGCAAGUGGUUUAACCCACUUUUUAUACUCCAAAACUUGGUCCCUAUAAAUCAAUAACAAAGUCAGGAAUUUUGCUAAGAGCAUUCAGAGUUUAAUGGGAAGGUCAAUUUUUUUGCUAAUAACGUUCAAGAUUCCAUGUCAAAGUUAAGAAUUUCACUAAAAAUGUUUCGAGAGUUUAUAAAAAAUAAACCCUCCUUAUGUUGCUAAGACAAAGGAAGAAUUUGUGUAUAUCCUACCCUUUACAUACUCUACUUGUGAGAUUAUACUGGAUAUGUAAGCGUAUAAAAGAUAACUUUUCUCCUACAUAUACAAUAUACUUUUGAUUUAAGUUAUAGAGUACCAUUAUAAAAUCUUGAGAUAAUUUUGUGUUCAACCACUUAAUCUAGUUAGUUUUUAAAUAUGUUUUGAUAAAUAGUUGGUGAUAGUUCAGAAAUGCAAACACCUCCCAAAAAGUAAUACUACUUGAAAACCUGUGACCUAUUGAUUAUACAGAGUAGAAAACCCCAAAAAGUUACCUUGUUUGAGGAGGCCAAAGAUUGCUAUCAUUUUGUGGAUUACAACCAUGUCUUAUAGUAUCCCUCCACUCCAAAACUUUCUCAUCUUUCUCACCAAUAGCACUCCAAAACAUCAACACAGAUUCACCAGGACUAACUUUUUCUUUAUGAUACUUAACUUUUUCUUCAGCUGGCAAUUCAAAGAAUUUGUGUGCUGCAUCCUUCAAAUUUUCAAGUACCUCAAUUGGGAUCCCAUGAUUGAUGAUUUGGAAGAAACCCCACUUGCUUGCUGCUUCUUGAAUUGAUUUUUCAACAUUUAAAUCAUCAAAAUUUGAUAAAUUAAUUGUUGGGAUUGAUUCUUGAUUGUCAAUUUGAGACUUGUUUAGUCUUUGUUCUUUUGGUUGAAUGCAUUGAUUUGGGAUAAUUUCAAGGUUUGUGUCUACUAGGCCUUUUAGUCCAUUUGCUUUCUUGAUUACAAAAUCAAGUAUGUCAUCAUUUGGUUCAAAUUUUGAAGAAGACAUUUGUGUUGAAUCUUGAUGAGUGUGUACUAGUGGAAGAAGGAAAUUUGAGGUUUUUUUAAUGGUGGAUUUGAGGGGGUGUGUUGGGGGGGCGGGGGAGAAGGGGGGUUUGCUAUGGAAUGAUUUAAGAUUGAAUCAUUACUUCAUCUAGCAACGAGGGGGUUGUGAUGGAGUGCUAAAUAUUUUUUCAUUUUUAAUCAAAUAUUUUGGAUUCAAUUUUUUCUGAAUAUAGAGUGUUUUACCUCUCAGUAUGAGACUUUUCAAUGUAAAUUCAAAUUUAUUUGGAUUCAGUUUAUCAUAAAAUUUAUUUUCAUAGCUAUUUGAAAAUCGAUGAGGUGGCUUUUUGGUAUCAUAUAAAUGAAUUGUGGUUGGUUUGAAUAACAUUCACAUCCUUUUGAAAUUCGUGCUCUCUAUUAUAUCCAUAAAAAAAUAUCAGUAAAAAUAGUAAUAUUAUAAUUUAAUACUUUAUUUUGCUUUUAAUAUUAUAAUUUUAUAGCUAUAAAUUAUUAUGACAAUUCAGAAGAUUUGCUUGGGAUAUAUACCGAAUGUGUAUUAUUAUUUUUUGGAAUAAGUUUUUGAAAGUCUUAUAAAAGCAGUACCACUUAAAUCUGUUAGAAGGAAAAAUUUCAUAUGCUUGAGUACAUUUCCUUAUACAUUACUAAAUCUUCUUCAUGCUUGUGUUCUUCGUUUGCUAGAAAAUGGGUCCAUUAAUUUGCCUCUCUCCAGACGUAUUAGAUAGUGUCAAAUGUGAAAAAGUUAAAUUUCACCAAAUGCUCAAAAUUCAAGAAAUGUGAAAUUAUACACUAAUUUAUAAUGAGUAAAAGGCCAAAAACUGCAUUUUAAAAUAUAUCAACACUGUUUAUUAACGAGUUGAGCUAGUAAAUAAAUGGAUCAAUGAUCAGGUUAAACUUGGAUGGAUUUGAUGGAUCAUAUUUUCAUGACUAAGUUUUUGUUGUUAGGGUGAACUUUAGUAGAAUUUACGUAGUAUUUGAUAGUCAAAACUCGACAUUUGAUACUAGUUUUCGUAUUGAGAGACUACCUAUCACAAUCUUUGAUGAUUGGGGGGUUUCGUCACCCUAUAUUGAUACCAGUCUUAGGAGUGAAAGUAAAUUCAUUCCAAACUCGAAAUCUAUAGUUGAUGAUGGAGAUAGUUACUACCGGUCACAAUCUUAGAAAAUGAUAAGCGGCAUUUAAGUAGGUGUCCCCCCCCCCCCCCUCCUCAUUUUGUAUUCAGUAUCCUCUUCAAAACUGAAUGUAAAUUUAUUUCUAAAUUCGAGAUCUCUAAUUGAAGGCGGAUUUAGCAAGGGCCCCCCCCCCCCCCCUCCUCAUUUUGUAUUCAGUAUCCUCUUCAAAACUGAAUGUAAAUUUAUUUCUAAAUUCGAGAUCUCUAAUUGAAGGCGGAGAUAAUUACUACCCAUCACGAGUACAUGUUUUUUCUUAUUGUAUAUUCGGUAUCCACUUUUAAGAAAAUACAUUUUUUAAAUUAUAGAGUUCAAAUUUAAAAUUGUCAUAGUGUUACACACCAACAAUUCAAUGAAUGAACUUACAUUAUUCAGUGCGGACUCAAAAUUUUAUAUAAGUGAGUUCAACCAUAGGAUGAUCGUCGAUAGUGUAAGCAACAUCAAGCACAACAAAUGAUUUGCUCUUUGUGCUUUUAUUUAUUCUUUUUUUAAUAAUUUAAUAUCAAAAUAAGAUAUAUAGUUUUUUUUAGAAAAACUCGGCACUUUUUAAUUAUUUAACAAAGUUGAGGAAUUUAUUUUAAAAAAAAUCUAUUUACAUUUAAAAAAACAAAAAACAAAAAACAAAAUUAGAGUUAACUAAGAAACUAUAUAUAAUCUCAUCAAAAUAACAAAUUAUAGCAAAAAACUAAGAAAGACACUACAAAAAUUCAAUUAUAAAUGAUUAAAUGUUUUUAGAAGUAAAACAGAUUUAAGAUUUUUAUCGAGUUUGAGUAAGAAGACAAAAUAUACAACAUAAAAUUUAAAAAUAAAAUAAAAUAUAUUGGUGAUAAAUUUAUUAGUGACUAGCAUAUUGAAUAUGAUUGGUCAAUUUUUUUUAUAGGCCAAUUUGGCUACUGAAUAUGAAUACACAGUGAUAUUGAACCAAAAGCAGUAACAUGCCACACUUUGUUCAUUGUGGGUUUAAAUAUAUAAUUAUACUAAUUUAACAUUAAUUCUCCUUAUAUAAAUAAUAAAUUUUCCAACCGAGUGGGUUCAACAUGUGGGUCCACCCCUGACAUUAUUACAUUGAAAAAAAAAUAUGGGGGAAAGUUAUUAUAAACAAAAAGUAGGAUGAAGGGCAAAAUAAGAUUAUGAAAUCAUUAGAACAAAAUAAGAUAACAAUACAAUCACACAAACUCACCGGUUACAUAAAGAAAUACUUUUUGACAUUGCAUAACAAAGAAAUUUGUGAAUUAAAACAUCAAAUUUUAGCAAAAUCUAGUGAUGCUUUACCAGAGGGCCUCUUACUGAAGUAAUGAUCCCAAUAAUCAGAGAACAAAACAUGUUUGUACAUUGAUUUUUCUCCAUCUUUGAGUAUUUGUGGGAAUGGACCAAUGACACUAUCAGGGCUAGGAUUCACAAAUAGCGGUACAGAUAUUCGAGCCCUGCUAGAAUCAACUGCUACACAAUGCUCGAUACUUUUGUAUCGAUCGUUGCUCAUGAUCUGCAACGAGUUACCUAUGUUAACCGCCAAGGCACCUUUGAUAGGAUUUACGUGAAUCCAGUUAUCACCUUUAGUCCCUUGGACAUAUAGGCCUCCCGUGUCGUCCUGGAGGAGCAGAGUUAUGCAGGACAUGUCGCAGUGUCUACGAAAACCAAUGGCGAUACUUGGAUUUGGACAAGGUGGAUAGUAGUUUAUAUUGAUAGCCAUAGUUCCCAUCAAGAGAGGUUCUAAAGAUUCAUCAAUUUCAUUGACAUUGAGACCCUUCAAUAGCACCUCAAGCAAUUUUUUAGCAAGUGGUGUAGCCCACUUUUGAUACUCCAAGACUUGAU